rnacentral:sRNA from 1 species
CAUUCUUGGCUCACCUCUUCGCCCGGCCCGUUGCAAGUGGAAUAUAGGGAAAUGCCCGCGGGAGUGACCAGACUUUGUUUCACCUACCUUGUUGUUGGAGCAGUCUCACACUCACAAAAUGAACUCCCACUGGGCAUUUGAGGUUGGUCAGCUGCCGUCUCGCGAGCGACUUGUUCCCUUCCAGCCCUUCCCCUUACAGCAGCGGAUGUUUAUUGGACUCGGUAUCUUCAACGCGGCACAAAUGUCGAGGUGCUCGCCGCGGCAACCGCUCCCCUUCUCGCAAACCACAAGCUAGUGUAGCUGCUCCCUCCCGGACAUGUGGUAUCUUUGUCUCACCCCGAAACGUGUUUCGUUACUGGCAUAUUUUUUUUCUGGGCUUCGUCGGGGUGUUUUUUUAAGGGGGGGGGCGCCGGCGCAGAAUUCAUGACCAGGGAGACAAAUUCCUCUCGACAAACCAAGUCAUUGUGAGAGAGGGAGAGCACCACCUGGCCUGGCCCCUCAGCAAGAGGUUGUAAUCGACUCGAUCUAUCUCUACCGUCUAGUGCAGCCAUGGUUAUUGCUCCACGAUUCCGGAGUACGUGUCUUGAGCAUGUGCGUGUACUGUAAUGUAUACAUGUAUACAUGUAUCUUACAUACUGUAAAAAUUGAUGAUCACUUACAAAUUUGGGAGACGGAAGGGCGAUGAGGGGUUUGACGGGUGGGUGGAGGAGAUGGAGUCACGUCGAACCAAACGUAUUUAGUUGAUGGUAAGACCAAGUAAAAUCAAAAACAGAACAGAAUACCACGCAGCA